GCUCAAACAAAUGUAUUAGUUUCUAAGGUGCCACAAGUACUCCUUUUCUUUUUGCGGAUACAGACUAACACGGCUGCUACUUUGAAACCUGUGUGAUUUUUACAAAUUUGUUUUGCUAUUCAACAUUUAAUGAUUAAUGUUUUAUAUAAACAAACCUAUGGACUGCUCAUGAGCUGUUUGCUUUGAGUGGCGUGACUGGUCCCCUACGUCAACCUUUAUAAACUAUGUCUGUGGUUUCAUCAGAAAACGAGCAUAUUGUGAUCUUGCCCUAAGCAGCCAUGAAUAAGAAACCUCUUUCCUCAUACAGAUCAUACAAGGGAGGCCUGGAAUCAGUGCAAGGGAGCAUAGGGACCAAUACUAGGGGUUUCCCAGGCACAUAUUACCAAAGAAGGUUGGGAAGAAGUGGAGGCAUGGACCUUGCUUCAUUAUGUGUUGAACCGUGGAGCUGGAUGGCUAUGUGGGAGGAAGUGUGAUUUACCUUAGAACAAGGUGACACAAAUGAGAUGACCUCCUGAGGUCCCUUCCAACCCUGAUAUUCUAUGAAUUUACUCCCUAAACCAACACAGCUGGAGACCUCCAGGGGGCAUUGUCCCUCCUAUGGUUUCCACUGUCCUCAGUGCAGGGUUAUAAGGACACAUCUCAAUCCUAAUCCUUUGUGAUUAAAUGAAUCUUGUCUAUUGGCUAGAAACCUAUUGCCUGAAAACACUCAUUCAAACAAGGUUUCUUUUGGACAAAUUUUUGAGAGACAUGAAUAAAAAGGCUUGGUGAACACAGCUGAAGCAACGUUCUCUAUGUUUGCUGAGCGCUAGGCAAAAUAUAUAUGAUUUGGGCAUCUACCUUCAGCGUGUGCAACUGCCCUUUGUAUGUGCAGCUGGAGCAAAGCUAAAGGUAAGAGCAUCAGAAAUGGUUCAAACUGCUCUUAAUCCAAAGGUCAAGGGUAGAAGGAUGACAUAGUAAAUUGCAUUCAAGUGGAGGUCUAUCAGGUUUAAUUUUUUUUUUUAAAGUUGUAGAUUUCUUUUUUGAGACAAUUGUUAUGGAGAUAGUAUCAGUCUUUUCGUGUUAGCCCCUCUUCUACACAGGCCCAUUGGUGUAUUCUCACAUAUGGCUGAGCUGCAUAUGCACUCAUCUUUUAAUGCAUGCUUAGUUGAAGGAUCAUCAGUGAGGCUGUGUAGCAGGGCAGGGCUCACCCCUGCAGCACCUCCUCCUGGUCAUCCAGGGAAUUAGCAUUCCAGCCUCUGGAGCACCCUCUGUAGGCCCAUGUCCUGCUUGCUGCUGGGCCCCCCGAGUCCCUCCUAGACCCCAGUGCCCCCUUUCACACCAGGGUGCUGCCACCUGCAGUACCCCACACAAAUCUGGAUCUCCCCUCCCCAGAGAAUCCCCACCUCGCCUCAGGCUAUAGGCGCUGCCAAUCAUCCCCUAGCCCCCAUUUCCUGGGGCUGACUGCAGUGUAAGCACCACUCAUCACAGGCAAGAGGGGUUUGGACCUGCUGUCUUUGCCUACCUUUAGCUGCCCCCUGCAACCCCAGUACCUAUUUGGCCUUACUCUAGGCCUGCAGGCUGUGGGGUUUCUAGGCCAGAGUUCCCCAGCCCUACUCCACCUCAAGUACCUUGGUAUGCUCCCAGCAGCCAGGUCCCUCCCUCUCAACAGGCUAGAGAGAGAGUCCUUCUGCUUCUGGCUUCCCUGGCUUUUAUAGGGCCAGCUGGGUCUGUUUGGGGCAUGGCCACAGCUGAGGCUGCCUCCCAAUCAGCCCAGCUUUUCCCCUGCCCCAGCCCCUUCCCAGGGCUGUUUUAAGCCCUUCCAGGUGACCACCCUACUACCCGCUGGUUUCCAGAUACAGCCAUAAAGAAUGACAGGGAAGAGGGCAGUAUUAGCUUUCUUGUGGUAGCUGAAAAUGUGUUUCUGUUGAGCUCUUAGCUACUUAUAUAGUUCCGCUAUUGUAAUAUCUGAGCACCUAACAAUCUUUACUGUAUUUAUUCUCAGAACAUCCCUCUGCAGUAGGGCAGUCCUAUAACCGCUGUGUUUAAAACCUGGAGUCUGAUCUGCUUGGAAUAUCUGCUGAGAGAAUUUUAUUUUGGAAUCAGUUAGGCUCUGCAGUGAUUUCCCAGAAAUAUUUUUAAUGAAAUAAGCGAGGAGGGAAAUAGAAUUCCUGUCUGAAUUGUUCAUGAAAUUGAGUUCUGCCACUCCAACUAUUAUUGAACUGUUCUGGCACCAUUACUUGGAAGUAACCAAUGUAGCUGAUAGGAAAUACUCUCCCUGAAAUUGUAUGUGAUCCUAACUCCUCCUGCCAUAAUGUGCUCCAGAAUAUUCAUUGGAUAUAAAGGGCAUCACCCUGUAGUUUUCAAUAACGCUAUUUCCUUUUUAUUUAUGCAUAUAUUAGUAUAUAAUUGCAGUAACUUCACAUAUAUUUUUCUACCUCUCUUUAGAUCCAAUAUUGCCUCCUUAGUCAAAAUUUCCAUUGUCUUCUAUGGGAGUUUUGCUUAAGCAGUGGCUCUGUGAGCCAAAACCUGCUGACCUUAACUCACACAAAUUCCCGCUGAAAUCAUAGGGAGUUUUGCAUGAAUAAGCCUGAGCAUGAUUUGUGUCUCUAUGUUUAGAUAUAUGGCCUUUGACAUCAACAAGAUAAUUAAAUGUGUCAUGUAAAGAAGUGAAACAGAGCUUUACAAACAAUGUAUGUUUACAAUUAUACAACUCCAAUCAAAAGAGUGACAAAGAAGUUUUCCUUGAUUUUGGCUUUCUUAAACAAAAAUAUACAGCUUAGUUAGUAGCUUCCAUCAAAGUGAUACAACUAAUCAAAAUCAUAACAGGAUCUUUAAAUGCGUUAAAAAAGAAUACCUUGAAUUCUCUUUCAAAGUACAAUGGGCAUAAUCCAAAUGCAGUGACACAGAUAAUAUUUUUAUCUUCUUUUUACUACAAAGUUUUCUAUUUUGCAUUUUCAAAAGAAUGGUUUAAAAAUAUCCUUGUAAACUAUAACAUUAAAAAUAAAUAGGACCAGGUAGGCUUUCAACUGUUUUUUAUGUCAACACUACAAAAAAAAAAAAUCAAACUACAUUUCCAAAGGAACACCAGAGAGCUUUCUGUGGAAGUUGGCAGACGCAUAAAGGUAUUGUUUUGCAGAUAUUGUUGUUGAUAGGUUUGAUCUACAGCAUGGUUUGUCUGAGCCAAUGGGAUAUUGUCUUUUUAACAAAUCUCAUCAUGCCAGCAGUGUUGCUUCUUUAGGAUGGCUUAUCAGCUCCAGCCAGAGUCUGCCACUCUUGCACUUGCCUUCAUCGCCUGAGAGGAAAAUAAAUUGUACCCAAGCAGUUAAUAAGAAAGAAUUAUUGUGAGUGAGAUGCAUGACAUUAUGAGAAAGCAUGGUGUUUUAUGGACUAAAUAUUGCUCUGCAACCCUACCCCUCCUGGAAAACGACAGACAAACAAAAAACCCAGGUUUGGCAUAAAUGAAAUGAGCAUUUCAUUCGAGAAAUAGAUUCACUUUAAGCACUGUUACUGAUGUGCUAUUCUCUUUCAAGAAGUAUACUUAUGACAUUUCUCCCUUAUAUUAAAAUGCAUUUUAAUAUAGACAUUGGAAAAGGCUAUAAAAGGCUUGUAAUAGCUUCUCUGCUGUGACAACAUGCAUCUUCUUUUCUAUAUAUUUGUGCAGCUUGAUAAAUAAAGAUACUUAUAUAUAUAUAUGAAUGUGACAUGUAGCAUAUGAGUAAAGAGAGGUGAAUAUAUCUAUCGUUUUCUGUGGGACAGCUGAGCCUUCUCUAAAAAUGAAUGAGCUAAGGUACUGAUGGUGCGCAGUUUAUGUGCCAAAACCUGCUCACCUUACACAUACAGGUUUAACAGGACCGCACUUGUGAGAAAGGUGACAGGGAUUUGGCCCUAUAUACAAUUCUCCAGAACCCUGCUGCUUGAAAAUCUCAAGAAACAGCUGCAUAUAUGGAUAGUGAGCACACACUGGCUAAUAUAUGCAAUGGGAAACUUGGGCACGAUGCCACACAGCUUUUACUAGCUUUGAUGUGUGGUAUGUGUUUAAGGUCCUGAUUCAGCAAAGCAGUUAAGCAUGUGUUUAACAUUAAGCUGGGAGGUAAGUCCCUUUGAAAUGAAGCACAUGUGUAAGUGCUUUGGUGAACUGGGGCCUUUGUCCUCAACAACUCUGAAAAUGUAGGUGUAAAUAUUUCAUUGUGAAUUGUAUUUUAUUUAAAUUUUGUUUCUUCAUAAUUCACAAGCAAUAUCCAUCUGGCACCUGCACUAUGGUGAUGGGUGCCUUAGAAAUGCAUUUGAUGCCUUUAGUUCAGACUAUGGAAAGCACACAUAAGGGAAUUACUCAGUAUUUUAUUAGCAAAGAGAUGAAGUACUGGUGAAGGGCAAACUAACAGUCAAGAUCAAAGAACAAGAGAGAGAGAAAUUGGUAAGUGCAAUUCUAUUGUGACUAAAUAUUCUGUGAUUUUCUAGUGUCUUUAAUCCUGAGGAUCUCAAGACAUUUUGCAAAUAGUAAUUAAACCUCACAACAUCCCUGGAAGGUUUAUAAACACUAUUCUGUACAGUUUACAGAUAAGUAACCUUCAGGGGACCAGGGACAAAUUGGCUACUGGGCUGCUCGUGGGCUAAGACUGCUGCCUAUUAUGCUGACCAGUAUUCUCUCAUUGUUUCCCUGGGCUCCCCCAUAGGUCUGUCUUUUUCCUUAUGUUGUCUCUUGCCUUAUAUUUAGACAGUAAGCUCAUUGGGGCACGGUCUGUCUUUUUUUUUUGCUUGUGUUUGUACAUGGCUAUCCCACUGGGGUAUUAGUCCAUGACUGGGGCUCCUAGGUGAUACAAUAAUACAAAUACUAAAUAACAAUACUUGCCUGAGAUCACAAGGAAGCCAAUGACUCAUCUGGGAAUUGAAUUUAGAAACCUCCAUUCCAACCACAAGACCACAUACUCUCCCAAACUAAACCCUGUUUUCCUUUCUCUUGUCUCAUUCCCUCUUAUUUUCUGUUUCAGACUUAGAGCCUAUCCACACAAAAGCUUGCAGCAAAAUAACAAAAGGUGCACAUUAAAACUGAUUUAGUUAUUUUGGUGCAAGUCCAUUUGUUGAUAUUCUUAUCAGAAUAAAAGUGGUUAAUAUGAAUUAAAUGUGGAUAGGGUGCUAACCUGAGAUGGGGAAGACUUCAAGUUUCCCCUCUGCCUGACUGGGAGAAGAGAUUUGAACAGGCUAUCUUUCAGGAGUACAGAAAGCAAGGAGCUAUGCAGGUGUUACCGUUAUUUACAAACCAUUAUGAACAACGAAAAGAUUUUCAACUUAAUAAUGCACUAUGGGCUGGCUUCAACAAGUGUUUUUGAAAUUACUGAGAAUCAAAGAACUUCUCUACUGGUAGCUGCACAUUGAGUCACAGUGGAAGAGGUGAUGGUCUGCAAUUACGUAUGAUAGAUAAUGAAGAUUGCUCCAGAAGCAAUGUGGGAAAAAAAAAAAUCCAAGGAGCUAUGCUGAUUUACUGAGAAGAGCAUCUGGUUCUGUCUAUUUAGACUGUAAGUUUUGGAGGCAGGGAUCUUGUGUUCCUAUAUGACAGUAAAGUGCCUGACAUACUAUAUAAAUCAUAAAAAAAUGAUGAUGAUUUUUUAGCAUCCCUAUGUUCAGCUCAUAAGCACUGGGAACUCACCAGCACAACCUCAUGAGGCCAUUCUCAUACAGAGAAACAAAUGGUGCACUGCAACUGAGUCAUAAAGAUUUACAACCUGGCAGCAAACAAUCAGGAAGGUUAAAGACAGGUGGGAGUCCAUUUACACAGGUUAACAGUGCCUGUGCAUGGGGACAUUUUUGACAAUAACUCUGGAUAGGGAUCAACUCCACAUUGGAGGUCUUUGGAGAUAAAGCUGAAAAUGACCUUUGCCCGCAACAGAUUACAAACAACUAGGCUCUCUGACAGAGAAGUAGUUGCAAGAAGGAAAGGAGAGACACCCAGAGAAGGCUGGUGUUGCAAGUAUGGAGAAAGGGAAAGAAACAACACCCAGUGCUGGGUGCAGAUGGGCUGGUGCUGGGUGCUAACUUUGGAAUGAGCUACUUGCAGAUGCCCUUGCCUAGAGAAAUCAUUGCCUGUGGUAGCCAGCACAAAAUGUUUUGGCAGCAGCAUCAGAAUCACCAGGCAGGCUUUUUCUUUCAUAUCAUACUCUUGGGGCUGGAACAUUGAGGCACUGUCAUUUUGAUGUUCAUAGAAAACAAAGAAGAAUAUGGUUUUUAUUUCACUAAAGCCAGUCCAAACCUUCCUGAAAAACAAACAGCACCCAGAGAUGCCAUGCAGUUUGCAUUUGAAUUAUGAAGAAAUAAAACCCAAUACAAUAUAAAAGAAAACAAUAUUUAAAUUUCCUAUAUUUUUAGGGUUGCUGGGGAUAAAGGCAUGGAUUUAGCAAAACACAUAUGCUCAACUUCUAGGAGACUUAUGCAUGUGCUUAAAGUUAAACAGAUGCUUAACUCCUGUGAAGAACUGGAGCUUUAAACAUACAGCAUCCCAUUACAGAGGGUGGGUUUGGAGGCUCGAGGUAGGCAAGGGAAGGGGCAGAGUGGCAUGGGGAUAGGAGGGUAGCACAAUAGGAGCCCAGACUACUACAGCCCUACGUGAUGAUUCCAUCUCCCUGUCACUCUCCAUCAACACAUGGGCCAGCACAUUUAAGCAUGUACUUAAGUCCACUCCUAUUCAUGGCAUCCUCAAAACACAAGCUUAAUAUAGAAUAUACUAUACUUUAGAAUAUACUAAGUGCUGUCAUGAAUAAGGAUUCUUUCCUGAAUCAAGGCCUAGAGCUGUGCUUUGGGACUGGUUGUAGGUACCCCUAAGUGAAUAAAGUACAUUCUCCAUGUAUUAAAUAUUUUUUCUUAUGACAAGCUUAUUGCCUGAGCCCUGUCUCAUAAUAGAAGAUGCAGAGUUGCUGGUUUGAAAUCACUUAAUUUCAAAAAUUUAUAUUCAUUUAUCCUAACAAAGGAACCAUGCAAAUUAAAAGAACACCAACCAAAAAACACAACAGAAGCAAUCAGUUACAAACGUUACAAAAUCACUUCUCCCUUACCUAAAAUAUAGGAAUUUUAUAGACAAAAACACCGAUUCGUAAUGUAUGGCAAAAGCACAUUUCACAUUCAUGUAUUCUUAGCGUGACAGUGAGACAAGGUGGGUGAGGUAAUAUCUUUUAUUGCGGCAACUUCUGUUGGUGAGAGAGACCAGCUUUCAAGCCACACAGAACUCUUCUUUGGGUCUUAGCAAUUUAUAACAAUUACUGUGUUCUCUUAGUAAAAAGAAUUUAUAAAUUUAUAAAAGGUUUUAAAAAGUGAUUUGAGAGUAAGUCACAAAAGUUUGCCCAAGUGAGACUGUUUCAUUUUCCAGCUUCUAAUUGGACCCACCAACCACUUUCACUUGUGUCGCAUCAUUUCCUACUGCUAUCACAUCCAUCCUUACUUCUAUAUCAGCAAUUGCAGCGACCACCUGAGUCACCUGAGUUAAUUGUACAGUUGGAAAACAGAUGUAGUUUCCCAACAGGAACAAUCAGAAUUGUGAGUGAUCAAUGUUAAAAUCCAUUUGUGAUAAAUGUUGCAGGCUCUAUGGGUCCUGGGAUUAUUGAUAAACUUGGAUAUUUAUAAAUGUUAGAUAUAUCUUUGUGAGCUAGGAAUUAUAGGCUAGUCCAUGGGAGUGUUGCUGAGCUCCCACCAGGAACUAAAUCAGGUGGGGGUAUCUACUGCAAAUCCCGGGACAGAUAGCUCCAGAGAAGUACCACCUUUGGGGAGGAAGGAAUUGCAUAUAUCAGUUCAGGCUGGGUUCAAGAGGUUUGGUAAAGAAAAAAAUGUGAGCCUGAAUUGGCUCAGGGUCCUUCAUUUGAUUCUCAAGCUGACCUGAAUUGCUUGUGUCUGGAGCCUCCCGACCUCACAACACAGAUCAGGUCCGGAACCGACCAGCUAACUCAGCAGGGUGAGGAGUGGACCUCAGCAACAGGAUAAAAGAUAUGGAAAUACCUGUUGGAACUCCACUGCACCAGGUCUGGCUAACCACGAGUACUGAUUAAGAAAGAAGAAAAUGUUCUGUGAAUUGUGACAUCUGUAACUCUUUCACUGUACUUAUGUGUUCUUCACAGUAGCCUUUAUAAAAACUCCAUAAAUCCUCCAUUGUUUUGUGUUAUUGGAAAUAAGUCAAAUGCCAGUUCAGCUUCAAAUACUGUAAACAUUUUAGUGGUGUAAAAGAACUCAAAUGAUCAGAGAAACCUUAAGUAUUUUUGUCUUUAGCUCCCUGUAUAAAAGCAAUGUAGUGUUUUCACAGAAGUGUUUCCAUUCAUGUUUUAAUAAACAUGUCCAAGGCGCUCCCUUGUCAUUGAACCCAUUUUACAUCUCUUUUCUUAUAGAGACAGUGGAGAAAAAUAAUGUGUUAUGCUCUAAAUGGUCAGUACAUGCACUUGGGCUGCCUCUGCUCAGUGCCAUUUAUAUUAAUAGGUACGAUUAUCCACGCAGGCCUUUGUUUUCAAUGCACUGUUUAUAGUCCCCAUUUGUGCAUCUUUCUGGAGUUAAAGUGUUUAUAACGAUAUGGAGCAGCUGGUCACAAACUAUUGUUUCUCAUUAAAAAGACAUGUUUCCUGAGCUUUUGGGGAUUCUUUAUGCUAAAUAGUACAUACUGUUGACAUUUUGCCCUUUCUGUUUUCCUUUAGUUCUUUGCUACUGAAUAUUGAUGGUUCAGGAUUAAGCUACCAAGUUCUAAAACAAGACCUAGGAAGCUUGCCGAGACAUAAAACCAAGGGCGUAGCCACUUUGGGUCAUUAAAGAUCCCGGGGCACUGUUUGCAAGAGAAAAGGGGUGUUACUCCUUGUGCUCCUGACCAAUUCCAGCUAGAGUAGUUGCAUUUUGUCCUCCUGACCUCUCUGUGUUUUCAGCUGGAUAAAUUAUUGUUCAUUUCUCCUCCUAUCAAGCUGUUGUGUUGCUGGCCCAGAAUGGCCACUGUGUUCUGCUCCAGAUGUGGCUGCAUUCCAGGGAUGGGUGAGGUAACCCCUAAACUGAUACAUCGUGCAACACCUAGAUACUUCUGUGGGACAGUGAAGGCCAAUAAAUAAUGAUGUACAAGAGUUGCUGUGGGAAGCUUGGCUCUAAUGUGUGCUGGUCAGCAUUACCAGAACAUGCUGCAAUUUCGUCUGGUUUCUGAGGAAGAUUGAAGCACCUGGGUAAUGAACUUGGACAAUUUUUGGAGGAGGAGAUUGGAAUAUUUUUCCAACCAUGGCUUGUGUCAUGCUGCCUGGAGUGGCUCAUGACUAUGAAUGAUUUCCUCAGGGAAGACACCCCAAACUCGAGGUAUGUUCUAUAAUUAGAUUUCACCAAGCCAGUAUCAAAUGUGAACUCCCAAAGUACUAUGAUAGUCUUAUACUGGAGUCACAGACAGUCCCCUUAUACACCCCAGGCUAUCUUGCCAUCCGGGCAAACUGGACUAUGUCAUAAACGGUCACUUACACCAAAAAUCACAAAUAUUCCAGGUUACUCCCAAUCCCAAGAGAACAGACACUCACCCAGGUUGAUUUGUGUACUAGAUCUCACAUCCAAGACAACAUUGGUAGCCAGUUCUAGAGUAAACCAACUGAAGGUUUAUUAACUAAGAAAAAGGAAUUAUUAGGAGUUAUUGAGAGGUUAAAGCAGGUAAAAUAUAUGUACAGGUGAGUUACAGUCUAUAAUUCCAAAUAGUAGCAGAGAUGUAAUAAUCUGCCCAUUUCACAAAAGUCUCUCAGAGCUACCAGAAUAAUUCUGGGAAUCCCAUCUUCUUGUUCAGUUAUUCUGCUCUGUUAGAAUCCAAACAGUGCAGAGAUGAAGAAAGUUUCCCUUGUGUCCACACUUAUAACUUCUUCUCACAGAAAACAAGCUGACAGAAUCACCACCCACAAGCUGACAGGGUCACCACUCAUGUGGGGAGUGAGGAAUGCAUUUAGAGUCUUUAAUCUCUGAUUAUCACACACAAGGACCACUUGCCUUCAAAUGUGAAAGAAUAAGUACUUUCCUGUUAAAGAUCUUCAUUUGCAUUCCACAAGGCUUCUUUCUCAUUUGAUGAGUUAUUUAGCUACAGGGGUAUACACAAUGUAAAUGUUUGCUAGUACAUUAUAACAGAAUACAGAUAAGUGAACACAAUGCAUAUGCAGCAUCCCAUUAGUUUUCAUGAAGUUUAAACACAAAGUCCAUUCUUAUACAUUUAACUAUCACUUUGAUCUAUAUUAGUACACAAGAGAAUUGGCCUGGCUUCCAGCUAUGCAUUUGUAAGUAUUCAGUGAGACCUGGGGCUUUGGCACCUGGUCUGCCAGCAUCAAAACUUGUUUACGGAAUGCAUUACUACCAUAGGAGCUGAGUUAUCUGCUGGAGUUAUUCUCCUGAAUGGAUUUUAAAAAAAUGGCAGGGUGCUUAUAACCUGCGUUAGGCACUUUUGACAUGUGUACAAAUCAGAAUUAAUACGUGUCAAUAAAUUGAGGGACUUUGCUGUCAUUAUUAUUUUAAAUAAAGGACAACAAAUGUCUUAUGUUUGUAGAACUAUUCAAAGUUCCCUCCCUUUUCAUGAUAAACAUUUAUCCUAUGGGCACGUUUUAAAUUAAUGUUAAGUAACUGAUUCAUGUUAGAGUAUUUGUAUUGGAAGGAUAUUUGUUCUUUUAAGUAUUCUGUUUUCCCACAGUUGGUCUCAGUUGCUGAAAAUAACAAUAGGUUAACCUUCUUCUAUGAAAAUUCAGUUUAUUGAAUCUAAUUACAUUUUUUUGUUGUUCUUUCCUCUUUGUUUUUUACCAACAAUUAAUAUCAAGCUGGUUAACUAAGUUUUGAAAAAAAGCCUAAUAUUAUUGGCAUAUUUAAGGCCAUUUUCAUUUAACCAUCAGCUCAAACUAUCACAGAUGCACUAGCUACAGCCCUCUGGGCUGCCCUACCCAGAGCCCUGCCCAGCUCUGUCUUGCUCACGGGGUUUUCCACUGCAUUGAGAACUUUCCAUGACCCUAUGCUGCUAGGUGAAUAUUACUCUUUAUUAACUUUCCUUACCGAAGCCCAACUUCUGCUCUCAUUUAUUUCAGAUUUGGGACACAGCGCGAUCCAUGGUUAGAGCAGUAGACUAAGACUGAAGAGAGCUAGAGUCUCUUCCUGGUUCUGCUACUGACAUGUGACCUUGGACAAGUCAUUUCACCUUCUUGUGCUUCUGUUUUCCCUUUGUCUACUUAGAUCAUAAUCUUAUUGAGGCAGGAUUGUGUUUGUACAGUACUUAACACAAUGGGACCCCAAUCUUGGGUGGGAUCUUCAGGGAUCGUAAUAAUAAUAAUUUGGUCUGGAGUAACUGAGAGCAGAAUGUCAAGUAUCAGAGGGGUAGACGUGUUAGUAAUUACACACUGUAAAUGAUCAACUAUAUUCUAAUCAUACAUUGCAUGUGUUUAACUGGAUAUAAAACAAAUAUAUGUAAAAUGUAUUUCUGUGGGAUAAAUAUAGAAAGUUUGUGCAUUAUGCCGAAGGGUGAGUGAAAUUUGUAAGGUUGCUAAAUCUCAGACAAGAAUUUGUUGCUACCAUUGCAAUCUGCAUAGUUUUGCACCCACCUACUUUGUGCUGAAUGUGGAUUUGACCAACUCUGAAAUUCAAAAUACUGAAAUUCACUUGGUUGUUCUGUUUAAAAAUAAAAUUAAAGCUGUUUCUGAGGCCACAUCCUCAGCCGAAUAUCUGAACAGAGU